GCCUGGGUGGCUCAGUCGGUUGAGCGUCCGACUUCAGUUCAGGUCAUGACCUCACAGUCGGUGAGUGAGUUCGAGCCUCGCCUCGGGCU
rnacentral:tRNA from 1 species